UACAGAGGUCUCAAGCGUUGUUCGGAUUCAUUGGGCGUAAAGGGCGCGUAGGCGGCCAGCACAAGUCAGUUGUGAAAUCUCCGGGCUUAACUCGGAAAGGUCAACUGAUACUGUGCGACUAGAGUGCAGAAGGGGCAACUGGAAUUCUCGGUGUAGCGGUGAAAUGCGUAGAUAUCGAGAGGAACACCUGCGGCGAAGGCGGGUUGCUGGGCUGACACUGACGCUGAGGCGCGAAAGCCAGGGGAGCGAACGGG
rnacentral:rRNA from 1 species